rnacentral:rRNA from 1 species
GCGGCAGCGACACUGUGUGUUGUUGGGUAGGGGAGCGUUCUGUAAGCCUGUGAAGGUGGCCUGUGAGGGUUGCUGGAGGUAUCAGAAGUGCGAAUGCUGACAUAAGUAACGAUAAAGCGGGUGAAAAGCCCGCUCGCCGGAAGACCAAGGGUUCCUGUCCAACGUUAAUCGGGGCAGGGUGAGUCGACCCCUAAGGCGAGGCCGAAAGGCGUAGUCGAUGGGAAACGGGUUAAUAUUCCCGUACUUGGUGUUACUGCGAAGGGGGGACGGAGAAGGCUAUGUUGGCCGGGCGACGGUUGUCCCGGUUUAAGCGUGUAGGUGUGUGUUCCAGGUAAAUCCGGUU